rnacentral:rRNA from 1 species
CGGGUGAGUAACACAUGGAUAACCUACCUAUAAGACUGGGAUAACUUCGGGAAACCGGAGCUAAUACCGGAUAAUAUAUUGAACCGCAUGGUUCAAUAGUGAAAGACGGUUUUGCUGUCACUUAUAGAUGGAUCCGCGCCGCAUUAGCUAGUUGGUAAGGUAGCGGCUUACCAAGGCAACGAUGCGUAGCCGACCUGAGAGGGUGAUCGGCCACACUGGAACUGAGACACGGUCCAGACUCCUACGGGAGGCAGCAGGG